rnacentral:rRNA from 1 species
GACGAACGCUGGCGGCGUGCCUAAUACAUGCAAGUAGAACGCACAGUUUAUACCGUAGCUUGCUACACCAUAAACUGUGAGUUGCGAACGGGUGAGUAACGCGUAGUUAACCCGCCUGGUAGCGGGGGAUAACUAUUGUAAACGAUAGCUAAUACCGCAUAAUAUUGAUUAUUGCAUGAUAAUUGAUUGAAAGAUGCUAUUGCAUCACUACCAGCUGGACCUUCGUUGUAUUAGCUAGUAGGUGAGGUAACGGCUCACCUAGGCGACGAUACAUAGCCGACCUGGGAGGGUGAUCGGCCACACUGGGACUGAGACACGGCCCAGACGACUAAGGGAGGCAGCAGUAGGGAAUCUUCGGCAAUGGACGAAAGUCUGACCGAGCAACGCCGCGUGAGUGAAGAAGGUUUUCGGAUCGUAAAGCUCUGUUGUAAGAGAAGAACGGGUGUGAGAGUGGAAAGUUCACACUGUGACGGUAUCUUACCAGAAAGGGACGGCUAACUACGUG